rnacentral:rRNA from 1 species
UACGGAGGGUGCAAACGUUGCUCGGAAUCAUUGGGCGUAAAGCGCACGUAGGCGGUUCGUUAAGUCGGAUGUGAAAGCCCUCGGCUCAACCGAGGAAGGGCAUCCGAAACUGGCGUGCUUGAGUAUGGAAGAGGGUCUCGGAAUUCCCGGUGUAGAGGUGAAAUGCGUAGAUAUGCGGAGGAACACCGAUGGCGAAGGCAAUCCCCUGGACCUGUACUGACGCUCAUGCACGAAAGCGUGGGGAGCAAACAGG